AGAGUUUGAUCCUGGCUCAGGAUGAACGCUGGCGGCGUGCUUAACACAUGCAAGUCGAACGGAGCUGUAUUGAAACCUAGUGAUAUACAGCUUAGUGGCGGACGGGUGAGUAACGCGUGGGCAACCUGCCGCAUACCGGGGGAUAACACUUAGAAAUAGGUGCUAAUACCGCAUAAGCGCACAGAGCCGCAUGGCUUGGUGUGAAAAACUCCGGUGGUAUGCGAUGGGCCCGCGUCUGAUUAGCUAGUUGGCGGGGUAGAGGCCCACCAAGGCGACGAUCAGUAGCCGGCCUGAGAGGGCGGACGGCCACAUUGGGACUGAGACACGGCCCAGACUCCUACGGGAGGCAGCAGUGGGGGAUAUUGCACAAUGGGGGAAACCCUGAUGCAGCGACGCCGCGUGAGUGAAGAAGUCAUUCGUGAUGUAAAGCUCUAUCAGCAGGGAAGAAAAUGACGGUACCUGACUAAGAAGCCCCGGCUAACUACGUG
rnacentral:rRNA from 1 species